rnacentral:lncRNA from 1 species
GAAAAUGUAACAUUACAUAUCAAACCACUAUCAACAUUAAAGUGAAACAUGUUCUCUCUUCCAGCAACAACACAGUGAAGCCUUUCUACUUUUCUAUGUUAUAUGUCCUACUCUCCUUGGUCCCAGGAUGGCAUGCAUCCUGCUGUCUUCAUGGAGACCCACAUGGUGCUGAUGAAACCUGAAGGGAAACAGUUUGGUGACAUCAGCAAGAUGGUGGAAUGUGACUUCCCAGUAAUCAGCUCCUCACAGAACAUCAAUACAGACGACUAUCCACACUCAAAAAUGCCUUCAUAAGAGCUAAGAAACCCAGAUGAGAGAUAUAGCACCUGGGUAUAGUACAGAAAUAAGAAAGAUGUAAAGAAGAGGGUAAAAAGGACAGUUUUAUGUGUUCUGUAUCACUCCUCCUCAAAACCCAAGUAGGACAGCAUGGACAAAGAUACUCCUAUGUUGGAGAAAAAGAGGAAAGUGGGCAUCAGACUUUGCCAUGGACCCCAGAACCAGUCUGGCCCCAGUGCAACUUGGUGCCAGGCCUCCAGGCCCACAUCAGAGGCCCUAGGCCCUAAGGCUCAACCCCUCAGAUGUGGGUUCUAGGCCCAACCAAGUUUACAGACAAGUUCCAGGCAUCCGGUCAGCACCCUUGAACCCAGCUUUCUGGCCCACUCUAGUGGCAGGCCAGCCCCAGUGACCCCAGGCUCCAGACUAGCCAGAGCCAGGACAAGAGCCCAGAAAUAAAUGCACACAUUUAUAGUCGAUUGAUCUUUGACAAAGGUGGCAAGAACACACAAUGGAGAAGAAGAGUUUCUUCAAUAAACCAUGUUGGGAAAAUUGAAUAUCCACAUACAAAGAGUGAAAUUGAACCCUCAUCUCAAAGUAUAUAAAAAAUCAACUCAAAAUGCAUUAAAUACUUAAAUAUAAGGUCUGAAACUAUAAAACAACUGGAAGACAACAUAGGGCAGAGCCUCUUGGCAUUGGCUUGGGCAAUGAAGUUUUUGAUAUGACCGCAAAAGUAGAGGCAACAAAAAGCAAAAUACACAAAUGGGAUGGCACACAAACUCAAAAGCUUCUGCACAGAAAGGGAAACAAUCAAUAGGGUAAAGAGACAACCUACAGAAGAAAAUAUUUGUAUACCUAAUACCUGAAAAGGGAUUGGUUAAUAGUCAAUAUCUAUAAGGAACUCAAGCAACUUAAUAAAAAACAAAUAACCUGAUUUUAAAAUGAGCAAAAGACUUAAAUAGACAUUUCUCAAAAGAAGACAUACAGAGAGCCAACCGGAUAUAUACAAAAAUUGUCAACAUCAUUAAUCUUCAUAGAAAUGCAAACUAAAGCUGCAAUGAGAUAUUACAUGACACUUGUUAGAAAAGAUUUUUUCAAAAAGAUAAAAGAUAAGUGUUGGAGAGGGUGUGAAAAAAACAGAACUUUUGUACACUGUUGGUUGGGUUGUAAACAAGUACAGUCAUUACAGAAAACAGUUUGAAGAUUUCUCAAAAAAUUAAAAAUAGAACUACUGUAUGAUCCAGCAAUUCUAAUUCUGGUUAUAUAUUCAAAGGAAAUCAUAUAAGUAUGUUGAAGAGAUACCCACAUUCCUAUGUUUAUUACAAGCAUUGUUCAUAAGAGCCAAGAUAUGGAAGCAACCUGAGUGCUCAUGGAUGGAUGAAUAGAUGA